rnacentral:rRNA from 1 species
AUACGAAGGGUGCAAGCGUUAAUCGGAAUUAUUGGGCGUAAAGCGCGCGCAGGCGGUCCUUUAAGUCUGAUGUGAAAGCCCACGGCUCAACCGUGGAGGGUCAUUGGAAACUGGGGGACUUGAGUGCAGAAGAGGAAAGCGGAAUUCCACGUGUAGCGGUGAAAUGCGUAGAGAUGUGGAGGAACACCAGUGGCGAAGGCGGCUUUCUGGUCUGUAACUGACGCUGAGGCGCGAAAGCGUGGGGAGCAAACAGGAUUAGAUACCCUGGUAGUCCACGCCGUAAACGAUGAGUGCUAAGUGUUAGAGGGUUUCCGCCCUUUAGUGCUGCAGCUAACGCAUUAAGCACUCUGCCUGGGGAGUACGGCCGCAAGGCUGAA